rnacentral:sRNA from 1 species
AGCGCGGAGACUUCGGAGCGAGCCGGGGCAGUCGGGGCCGAGGCAGCCCUUCCUGACUGUGACUCUGGACACCUCGCUGAAUCUCUGCUUCCUCCCCUGCAAAAAUGAAAAUUCAUUCAAUGGAUGAAGUUAAGAAGUGCCAAGGGUGAGGAUCUCCUUUAGAAGAGGAGAAGCCUUGCAUCAACCUCUUGGGCCUCAGCCAAGAUGUCUGAGAUACUGUCCACUAUAGUCUCCAAGAACAUGACCAAUGACAGGACCCCAUCACAUUGGAUUGGAGGCCCACCCCACUCCAGAAUGGCCUCAGCUUAGUGAAUUACAGCUGCAAAGACCUUAUUUCCAAACAAGGUCACAUUCUAAGACAGUGGGGGUUGAGACUUCAACAUAUGAAUUGGGAUGACACGAUUCAACCCACAACAGACCAUGAGGAAGGUGUCACCAUGAAGAGAACAGCCUGGAAUCCAUGAACAUCAGCUCUUCCUCAAGCACUGAAGAGAACCCA